ensembl:lncRNA
GUCAUUGAAAAGCAACCCAGGCUGAGCAAGUCAUCCGAGUAAGAUAAUGACCGAGAAUGUGUGGAACUCGCUCCGCGCUAACGGUACGUAGCAUGGGUGGACGUAGCAUGGGUGGAGGGGGGCAGAUUGCCAUGUUUCACUCCCCUCCAAAGGCUAAAAAAAAGCACACAGCUGUUUCACUGAGUCCAUGUCGGCGUAUUUCUCCCUCUCGUUUGCUGUUUACUCUUCACUCCAAAGCUGCAUCUUUCUGCAUGCGUCAUUUUUUUCAAUUCACUUUGAGGUAAAAACAAUACAAAAAAGAUUAAGUUGCAGAAAGAUGUUGUUCCGCUUUCUUAUGCUGUCAAUCAUCGUGUGACCCCUCUGAUUCAUCUUGUCUCCCACUGGGCCUUGACCUCCUGGUUGAAAACAAACUCCCAUACUGAGGAAACCAUUGAUGAAAGCAGAUUUUUUUCAAAGCCGAGAUCUCCUGCAGUCAAACGUCAGUAAACUGCCUCUGUGGGAUUGAAAGACAAAAGCACUUCAGGAGCACGAACGACAUUGUGAACUUUGAUAACGUCGAGCUUUCAGGUUCUUACAACGACGCGUGUGAAUAACUUCAGCUUGUCAGUGUAGCCGAAUGCAGAGCUUCCCCCUAACACACAGGCACUGGGGGCUAAUCAGAGCCCGCUGACUGUAAAAUAUGAGCUUAAUUUAUGACGUUAGAUGUGGCCUGCGUGCCUCCCCCGUCACUGUUUGCUCCUCCCGAUCUCCACCCAGCAUACAUUUCAUUCCAGUGGAGCAACAAAGCUCCGGCUGCGUUUCUCACCGUUGCAAACGGUGUUAUUGCAAAGAAAAGAAUGCUGGAGGCCAGUUGGUCCAUGUAUUAUGCUCUUUCUUUCUCCAGCGGCUGUUUAUUUACCUUGGAGAUGAACGCGGCGAGCCUUCCUCUGGGCUGCGCCCGCCCGGGGCUGUGUGGGGGGGGGGGAGACGUGCUCUGUGAACACACGGAGGAAGAGGCUGCGCUUAUUAAAGCUGCUGGGUUGAGGGUGCAGCGCCUCAGACGGCCCGGCUUCCUCCUUUUGUCUUCAUGCACUUGGAGUCCGGAGUUCUUUGCCGAUGACGAUCACAGCAAUGUGUUCUCAAUGAUGAAAUAAAUAUUGAAACUGAUGAAACAUCCCAUAACAUAAUACAACGCUGCCAUCACACUGCAUUUAACAGUGAAAAGCGUGAUGGCAUCUUUCAUUUUGCGGUCAGGGAGCGUUUUUGGUAGAAAAAUGGUAAAGUUAAUAAUGUUGUUCCAGAGCGGUUCACACUAGUCUGAGGACUUUUAACACGUGGAAGCGUCUUUAACAACUUAAACCCCCUUAUUUUGAAAGAUGAGCUCGUGUUUUGCAUGAUUCUGCAGAGAUCAUUGGGAACAAUAGCUGUCAGGUAAAUACAGCAGAGUAGCAAUUGGGGGCUAACAGCAGAACAAAGGCUCAGCUCUUUUUUUUCCUUCGUCCCGGGCGGAGGUGAAGACUGAAAAGAAUCAAAUAGCUCAAGUUUAAGAAUGAAAAAGAAUUUAAUAACCAACAGAAUCAGUACAAUCACAAAGUGAAAUACGGUAAGAAAAGUAGAAUAUUUUGUCCCUUCGUCCAGUCUCAUGACUAUCAAUGUUAAUUCUCAGGAGGCUUCUGGAAGUCCUUCUCAUCUCAGAGUCCUUUGAG